rnacentral:rRNA from 1 species
AUUGAACGCUGGCGGCAGGCCUAACACAUGCAAGUCGAGCGGAUGAAGGGAGCUUGCUCCUGGAUUCAGCGGCGGACGGGUGAGUAAUGCCUAGGAAUCUGCCUGGUAGUGGGGGAUAACGUCCGGAAACGGGCGCUAAUACCGCAUACGUCCUGAGGGAGAAAGUGGGGGAUCUUCGGACCUCACGCUAUCAGAUGAGCCUAGGUCGGAUUAGCUAGUUGGUGGGGUAAAGGCCUACCAAGGCGACGAUCCGUAACUGGUCUGAGAGGAGGAUCAGUCACACUGGAACUGGAACACGGUCCAGACUCCUAAGGGAGGCAGCAGUGGGGAAUAUUGGACAAUGGGCGAAAGCCUGAUCCAGCCAGGCCGCGUGUGUGAAGAAGGUCUUCGGAUUGUAAAGCACUUUAAGUUGGGAGGAAGGGCAGUAAGUUAAUACCUUGCUGUUUUGACGUUACCAACAGAAGAAGCACCGGCUAACUUCGUG